AAAUAGCAUAUCAAUAAGCGGAGGAAAAGAAACCAACAGGGAUUGCCCUAGUAACGGCGAGUGAAGCGGCAACAGCUCAAAUUUGAAAUCUGGCGUCUUUGGCGUCCGAGUUGUAAUUUGCAGAGGGCGCUUUGGCAUUGGCAGCGGUCCAAGUUCCUUGGAACAGGACGUCACAGAGGGUGAGAAUCCCGUACGUGGUCGCUAGCCUUUACCGUGUAAAGCCCCUUCGACGAGUCGAGUUGUUUGGGAAUGCAGCUCUAAAUGGGAGGUAAAUUUCUUCUAAAGCUAAAUACUGGCCAGAGACCGAUAGCGCACAAGUAGAGUGAUCGAAAGAUGAAAAGCACUUUGGAAAGAGAGUUAAAAAGCACGUGAAAUUGUUGAAAGGGAAGCGCUUGCAGCCAGACUUGCCUGUAGUUGCUCAUCCGGGUUUUUACCCGGUGCACUCUUCUACGGGCAGGCCAGCAUCAGUUUGGGCGGUUGGAUAAAGGUCUCUGUCAUGUACCUCCUCUCGGGGAGAUCUUAUAGGGGAGACGACAUGCAACCAGCCUGGACUGAGGUCCGCGCAUCUGCUAGGAUGCUGGCGUAAUGGCUGUAAGCGGCCCGUCUUGAAACACGGACCAAGGAGUCUAACAUCUAUGCGAGUGUUUGGGUGUCAAGCCCGAACGCGUAAUGAAAGUGAACGGAGGUGGGAACCUUUCGGGGUGCACCAUCGACCGAUCCUGAUGUCUUCGGAUGGAUUUGAGUAAGAGCAUAGCUGUUGGGACCCGAAAGAUGGUGAACUAUGCUUGAAUAGGGUGAAGCCAGAGGAAACUCUGGUGGAGGCUCGCAGCGGUUCUGACGUGCAAAUCGAUCGUCAAAUUUGGGCAUAGGGGCGAAAGACUAAUCGAACUAUCUAGUAGCUGGUUCUGCGAGUCUCC
rnacentral:rRNA from 1 species